rnacentral:rRNA from 1 species
UAGGGAAUUUUCCACAAUGGACGAAAGUCUGAUGGAGCAACGCCGCGUGCAGGAUGAAGGCCCUUGGGUCGUAAACUGCUUUUAUGAGUGAAGAUUUAGACGGUAACUCAAGAAUAAGGGACGGCUAACUACGUGCCAGCAGCCGCGGUAAGACGGAGGGCGCAAGCGUUGUUCGGAAUUACUGGGCGUAAAGCGCGGGCAGGCGGUCUGUUAAGCCGUUUGUGAAAAUCCGGGGCUCAACCCCGGAAAUGCAUACGAUACUGGCAGGCUGGAGACUGGUAGAGGCUAGCGGAAUUCCUGGUGUAGCGGUGGAAUGCGUAGAUAUCAGGAAGAACACCUGUGGCGAAGGCGGCUAGCUGGGCCAGUUCUGACGCUGAUCCGCGAAAGCGUGGGGAGCAAACAGGAUUAGAUACCCCCGUAGUCCCUGAGCGGGCUGGCAAGGCGCAU